ensembl:lncRNA
AUGACUGCCAGCAUCUGCGCAGCCGCGUCUGCAGACACGCCUCCUUCCUGCUGGAACAGGCCUUUCAGAGAGUCACACACACUGGCUGGCAUCUGUUUGGCAUUUCUGCAGAACAACAACAACAAAGAGCACCUACCAGGAUCUGAAGCCGGUGAGGAUGAGCCUGUGGAGACAAACCUUCUUUCAAGAUCAUCGUCCCGUUUCGUCAAUGCAAAAAGGAUUCUAGCUACCUUCAGGGAGGAGGCAAUGGAGAAGGAGCGAGGCUGGAUCUCCGGGAAGAGAUCCAGCAGGUAAUCCACUUUGAGUUCUGCCGUCGUAUGAGGGAAAUCUGUCAAGACCUGAAAUAGGAAAAAGAGAGAAAAAACAUUUCCAGCUUUUCACUUUAAACUGACUCCAUCAUGUUAGAUCCUCUUUCCUCAGCUCGUUUAUUUUGUAGUCAAAAGUGAAAUACAUACUGACCCACUAUUAACUUUAAGUUUCCAUUUGAAGCGAAACAUUUGGAUUCAAAUCCUUAUUUUUUGUAAUAUUUGAUGCAUAUUUUUUAUUAGGAUUCCAUUUUAAUAUUGACUGAGUAAAGGAAUGAAACUUGAAAUCUGAAUUCUGAUUGGAUGUUUUGAGUUAAUUGAUCAAUGAUAACUCUGUGUUGAAUCUAAUCUAAAAUUUAGAGUUAAAAGUGAAGGAAGAACUGAAGUGAGUUAAAAUAACUGUUGAUUGAAUGUAGCAGAAAUAUUAGCUGAACUCCAAAAUAGAAUAAAAAAUCUUAGUAAAUGCCAAAUUAGUCCUAAAAGCUGGCAGAAUGACAAUUUUUAAAACAUUAAAACUGUAAUGUUUUACCAUAUUUAUGAAUAAAACAGGAAUAUUAUUCCAGAAUAAAUCAACUUAAACCUUAAAUAACUUUCAAUAUUUUACUCUCCAUAAAUAUAUAUUUUGUCAAAAUUACACAAGUUAGAAAUAAGAGCAAGAUAACAUUGAGUCAUUAAUAAUAAAAUAAAAUGAUCUGGAGGGCCGGAUCCGGCCCCCGGGCCUUGACUUUGACACAAAAAAAAAUCUAGAUUUUGUUCUGAUAGAAGAAAAAAAAUGGAGGAGUUUGCUAAUGUUGGUUCAAAAGUUUGUAGGAGGUUUUCUCUGAACGGAGGUGAUCCAUGAUCACACUGAUGUUGACUUCAUAUUUUCUUGGUGGAUUCCUUUGUAAAAUGAUCUAAACCUGACCCACCUACACAAAAGAGGAGCAGUGAAUGGAAUAAAAGGAGUGAGUAUACAAGUGAUGAAAAUUUCCAGAUGAUGAGAUCAAGCCUUUCAGCUCAACAAGAACGUCCUGAGAUGACCUCGAGUGCGGUGCGCCGGGGUCGGUUGCAGUAGGAGUUCAGCUCUUCCUGGCCUGCUGCUGAGCUAAACUCAACUAGCUUGUCUCUCUCCAGCUCGUUGGUGGCAAACGUAGCCAGUAGCUCAAAGAAAGAGCGUCGAGGCACAGCGGCGAUGUCCAGGUAGCUCUCCACCAGGUGAUGCACGGAGCAGGGCUGAGGAAGCCUGGCUGGAACUGAGAGGACACAUCAUGUCAGCUUCAUUCCUCACAGUCACUCACUGUGUUAGCGUUUAACGUUGGGAUGCAGGACAGACGCAUCAUCAGUCGCCUCUUCUGGCUGUUUAAGAGUUUCAGGGUUUUUCAAGCAUCAUCCACACAUCUCAACUUCUCCCCUCCACAUUUGGCUCAGCCCCUGAACAACAUUAAUAAGCAUGAUUGUUUUUUUUCCUCAGACUGGCCAUGUGAUUGAUACCUAUAUAGAGCAUUGUAUUCUACCCUUCUGCAGUCUGUGCCACUACCUCAGAGGUCUGUAACCCGCAGCUCCAGAUUCACAUGUGUCUCUUUAAUCUCCAUGGAGGCUCCUAUCCAAACAUAAAAUAAUUCAUGGAGAUUGUUGAUCCAGACAUGUCGACCGUCUGAGUCAGCAGAUCUCUGAUAAUGUCUGCUUAACCAAAACUACCUCAAGAAAACAAAUAAACAAAGCCUGUAAACUAAGACUACCAAGAUCCAACCCCAAACUAAAAUAACAAAACCCAGCAGUGGAAGACUGAUGAGGACAAAGAGGGAAAAUAGAUAAAAAAGAUCAAAGAAAACAGCAUUUAUUGAAUUCAGAUUAGUUUCAUUUAUAAAUGUAUGUCUGAGGUUCACAUAGAUAAUAAACUGUGUAGGUUUUUACAUCUGUUGACCUGAAGACGUCUAGUUUGUUCAACUCUACCUCCAGAAUGAACAGAUUUUAGAUGCAAAG